rnacentral:rRNA from 1 species
AGUGAACGCUGGCGGUAGGCCUAACACAUGCAAGUCGAACGGCAGCACAGUAAGAGCUUGCUCUUACGGGUGGCGAGUGGCGGACGGGUGAGGAAUACAUCGGAAUCUACUUUUUCGUGGGGGAUAACGUAGGGAAACUUACGCUAAUACCGCAUACGACCUACGGGUGAAAGCAGGGGAUCUUCGGACCUUGCGCGAUUGAAUGAGCCGAUGUCGGAUUAGCUAGUUGGCGGGGUAAAGGCCCACCAAGGCGACGACCCGUAGCUGGUCUGAGAGGAUGAUCAGCCACACUGGAACUGAGACACGGUCCAGACUCCUACGGGAGGCAGCAGUAGGGAAUCUUCGGCAAUGGACGAAAGUCUGACCGAGCAACGCCGCGUGAGUGAAGAAGGUUUUCGGAUCGUAAAACUCUGUUGGUAGAGAAGAACGUUGGUGAGAGUGGAAAGCUCAUCAAGUGACGGUAACUACCCAGAAAGGGACGGCUAACUACGUG